UACAGAGGGGGCAAGCGUUGUUCGGAAUUAUUGGGCGUAAAGGGCGCGUAGGCGGUGCGGUAAGUCACCUGUGAAAUCUCUGGGCUCAACUCAGAGUCUGCAGGCGAAACUACCGUGCUGGAGUGUGGGAGAGGUGCGUGGAAUUCCCGGUGUAGCGGUGAAAUGCGUAGAUAUCGGGAAGAACACCCGUGGCGAAGGCGGCUCUCUGGGACGGUACUGACGCUGAGACGCGAAAGCGUGGGGAGCGAACAGG
rnacentral:rRNA from 1 species